CAGCCGCCGCGGGAAAACGGGGGGGCAAGUGUUAUUCGGAAUGACUGGGCGUAAAGGGCACGUAGGCGGUGAAAAGGGUGGAAAGUGAAAGUCGCCAAAACACUGGCGGGGUGCUUUCUUGACCAUUUCACUUGAGUGAGAUAGGGGAGAGUGGAAUUUCGUGUGGAGGGAUCAAAUCCUAAGAUAUACGAAGGAACGCCAACCGCGAAGGCAGCUCUCUGGGUCCCCACUGACGCUGGGGUGCGAAAGCAUGGGGAGCAAACAGGAUCAGAUACCCCCGUAGUCCCUGUCUCUUAUACAC
rnacentral:rRNA from 1 species